rnacentral:rRNA from 1 species
GACGAACGCUGGCGGCGUGCUUAAUACAUGCAAGUCAACUGAACUUGAGGUAGCAAUAUCACAAGAGAGGUGGCGCACGGGUGAGUAACACGUAGGUAAUCUGCCUUUAGGUCUGACAUAAUUCCGCGAAAGCGGGACUAAUAUCAGAUGAUGCAGCGGCUCGACAUCGAGACAGUUGUUAAACCUUCGGGGCCUAAAGAUGAGCCUGCGUCUGAUUAGGUAGUUGGCGGAGUAAAAGCCCACCAAGCCUGCGAUCAGUAGCUGGUCUGAGAGGAUGAUCAGCCACACUGGAACUGAGACACGGUCCAGACUCCUACGGGAGGCAGCAGUAAGGAAUAUUGCUCAAUGGCCG